GCCGGAGUGGCGGAACAGGCAGACGCACAGGACUUAAAAUCCUGCGAAGCUAAAACUUCGUACCGGUUCGAUUCCGGUCUCCGGCACCA
rnacentral:tRNA from 1 species